GUCCCUGUAGCACAAUGGAUUGCGCAUUGGACUUGUAAUCCAAAGGUCGUGGAUUCGAAUCCCACUUGGGAUG